CUCUCUCCCCUCUUCUCACUGCUUGUCCCGCGGGUCCCGGGACACGGGCCACUGAGCGGGGCGGGGUGGAGAGGGGACGCCCGCUGCCUGUCCCAGGCCACCCUCCCAGAGCCGGGCAUCUGGGGAUGCACGCAGACUGGCCUCGUCGGGCGCGCGCGGCAGGGCAGCUGAGACCAGGAGCCGCGGCGGCGGCGGCGGCGGCGGCGGCGGCGUACUGAGACUUCGCGAGCUCUCGUGACGUCAGAGGGCCGUUCGCCAGCACAACGUUCCAUUGAGGCGAGCGCGUGCGGCGGCCUGAGCACAUGGGGGAAAACGGGCUAGGGCUAGCUGCAUCGCAAACUGGAAAUGGGCGACCGCGUCUCAGGACCCGUCACUGCACCCCUUUUGGACCUCCACCGGGGAAGGGAUUUUAGCCGCUCGAUGACCUUUGGAUACAGGGUCGGAUUCACUCUCCAGUUUUGGUCCUGAUCUUUCAACCAGCAGAGAAAUGAAAAGAUGAGCCUCCUGACAGUUUCCUCUGUUUCAUCCAACUGUGUUCCAGUAUUUACAAGACCUAUGGAUUUACAGAUACUGAGCCCACCUCGGGGAAUGCUGAUGAAGGGGUCCUUUGGAAUGCCAUGCUGCUAUCAUUUGCAUUUUUUUCCCCCAAAGAUGGGUUGAUAAAGAACCUGUUUUGAGUUUCUUGUGAGGGAUCUUCUUAAAGUUGGAUUCUUUUGAAGGUUGAUUGAGAAGAGGAGGCUUUUUCCAUUGAAGAAAGGGAUUUUGCUUCAUCCGUUUCUUUUUAAACAAUACUGGUUUUUAAAAAGUCUUUUGAUGGAAGGCAUCAGUAACAAAUUUGGAAUCGGGAUAUGUAUGGAUUGGAAGCCCGCCUUUGCCAGUUAUCCUGUAUAUGGCCUUGGUCAAAUUACUCAGCCUUUUGGAAGUUUGGUUUCCUCAUCACAGUGCCUGGCACAUUGUAUUCUCCAGGUGUUUUGGCUCUGUAUCUUCAGUAAGCACUGACCUGGUCCCUGGGGAGGAGGAAAGGUGGGGGCGUUGACACAAGAAGCUACUGUUCUCAGUAGAUGUAAGUUCGGAAACUGGAUUCUGCUCUGGCAUAAAGAACUAAGAUUUGGAGUAAGCCAGAACAGCAAAGAACCCCUGAGGGUAGGGGGAGACACAAGGAAGCCACCUUGACCACCAUAUUCCCUCAGAAACUGAUGAAGACAUCCCCAGGAGCCUUGAGUCUGGCAAUGCUUACAGCCUCGUGUCCACAGCCAUCAUCCUAGGAAGGAAUCCCUAUGGAGAUGCAGCCUGGCAACUGAUCCUGCGGGGGCUAUAGAUGAAGCAAGCUAUCAGAGACUCAAAAGAAGGAUCUCAGCACUGCAGUGAUGUGAUUUUUAUCGGUACAACUGAUGUGAAAAGCAAACUCUCAAUUCAUUAAUUUAUUAACAUAUUGCCAAACUCAGAAAUUCUUAUGCUGUUGUAUUUAUUCUAUCUUGCUUUCUGUUCUAUUAGAUAGACAUUUUUUUAAAAAUUUAUUUUAUUUGGGGGGCGGGGCUGGGCAGUGAGGGUUAAGUGACUUACCCAGGGUCAUACAGCUAGUAAGUAUCAAGUAUCUGAGCCCAGAUUUGAACUCAGGUCCUCUUGAAUCCAGAGCCGGUGCUUUCUCCACUGUGUCACCUAGCUGCCCUGACAUCUUUUUUUUUUUUUUAAUUAACUUUAAUGAAGAAGUGUUGUUAAAUACUUGAUGCACAUGAAUAGUUUCAUUAUUGUUCUGUAGCCUCUUAACCCAAUAAUUCAUUGAAACACUUUUGCUUAAACACUUGCAUUGCAUUCUAUUCUGAGGACUGUGGGAUUUUUCCACGUGGCUUACAGCUGAAAUGUGUUGUUUCCCUGAUUAGAUUGUGAGCUCCUUGCAGGCAGGGACUGUCUUUUCUUUUUCUAUGUAUCCCCAUUAGCGCAGUUCUUUACACAGAGUAAAUGCUUAAUAAAUGCUUUGUUUCCCCACUCAUUUAUUCAAAUAAAUGUUUUUACAAAUAUUUUCCUUGUUUUCUCAUAUGUUCUUUCCCCUUGCCUCCACCUCUCUGUCGUCUCUUUGUCCUUUGUGGCUGAUCUUUUUGGGGAACUCUGGUAGAAGAAAGAGCUCUAUCUAGGGGACUCAAACCCCAAGACAGUCUCAAGCAGUGAAUACAGAAUUAGGACUCCUUGUCGAGCUUGUCUGCGGGACCAGUGGGUCCUUCACAAGAUAAUAACAAAAAGAAAACCUUAAAAAAGUAUUCAAGUUCAAAUGUUCAAAUUCAAAAUUCAGAUGUCACCUGCUUCCAAGACUCUGUCCUUGACCCUUCUAGCUGAUUGUGAUUUUUCCCUACCAUAUUCUAAUAUUUAUUUUUGGUAUCAUUCCCCAAGCCAUGCAUGACACAUCAUUCAUGCAUGGCAUGGCCUUAAAUAAAUGUUGACUCAUCCCUCCCAAUGUUGAUUACCUCCUAAUAUUUUAUUACACCUAAAAUCAGAGGAUGUAGACCUAGAUUAGAUCUUAGAGAUCAUUUAGCCCAUAAUUCUCAUUUUCCAGGUCAGGAAACUGAGGCCAAUAGUGUUGAACUCACUUUCCCAAGGUUGCACAGAUAGUAAGUGCCAGAGCUUGCAUUCAAACCUAGGCUUUCUAAUUGCAACCUUGAUUUUUCUAUCACAAUAUGUAGCCAUAGCUAGUUUUGUAUUUUAUUUUUAUAGGUAUUUGUUUUGUUUAAAUCAUCCUCAGAGAAUCCAAUUAGAACAAGCAGAGGAUAAAUACAAAAUAUCCUGUCAUGAGAAAAAAUUAAAGUAGUGAGGUAAUGAAUUGUUAUUAAUAAUAAAAUAAUAUUUUAAAGCAUCAUUGAAGUAUAUCUGAAGGACUGAUCUCCAGACCUUUGAAUACCAUACUUAUAUACACAAUCCUUUGUGAUUUAACACAAAGGUUAGGCAUAAAAAGAAGUCUUCACUUUUGCUUUAUAGAUUUAAACUUGGCACCUCUAGCCUUGAACCUCCCAGGCUGAAGAGGGAAUGCCAGGUCUGUCUGGUCACAGUUAUACAAAAGCUGACUUCCUGUUGGAAGAGAAUUUAUUAACAAUAGAUCAUGCACAGGUAUUUUGUUAAAUAAAAUUACAUUCCUGUCCCAGGGAGCAUCUAAAAGCCCUCUGGUUAUCCCCAAAGGUCGGGGAAGUUUCAUUAAGUAUCUUAAUGAAAUGUCAGUUUGACAAGAUGUGUGUUUAACUCAUAUUUGCAAAUUUUUCUUUGGAUAAAGAUGGAUUCUCUCCACUCCACUUCCCCCAAAUGAAGCAGGACCCUUAUGUUUGAAUAUGAAAUGCAAACAAAAAUUGGAUCUAGAAACUUUACGAACAGUCUCAGUAAAAACAAAGAAACUUUUUUCCCCUAUUGUUGUCGUAGGACUCUCUGCCUUUACUUUUAUUUAUAUCUUUUUAAUUUUUAAAAAUCAUAUUGCUUGCUUUCUCAAUGGGUGAGGGAAGGGCUGAAGGGAUGAAGAGAAUGUGGAACUCAAAAAACAUUUUAAAUUGAAUCAUUACACUUUUUUUUCCAAAUGUAUGUUUGUUUUUGAUUAUCUGACUAGGAAGUCUGUCAUUCUUGGAGAGAGAAGAGGCCUGGCUUCUAGUCAUAAUUGUGUCAUUAACUUACCUUGGGGAAGGGGAUAGUCACCCAUCUUUUCUGCUUGCUUCUUAGUGUCAUCAUCUCUAAACUUGAGGGAAUUGGAGUAGGUAAUAACUGACAUUUAUAUAUUGCCUUAAGCUAUACAAAAUAUUUUGCAUAUACCUUUGGGAAUAACCAGAGGGCUUUCAGAUGCUCUU